UAGGAAACUGCACACUGAGACCCAGCAGAG
rnacentral:piRNA from 1 species